rnacentral:misc_RNA from 1 species
UUUCCGUAGGUGAACCUGCGGAAGGAUCAUUAUUGUAUAACCGAGGUGCGAGGGCUGUCGCUGACCCGAAAGGUCGUGCACGCCCGAGUGCCCUCACACACAUCCAUCCCACCCCUACGUGCACCACCGCGUGGGUCCCCCUUUGGCUUGUUCGGAGGGGGGCUUACGUUGUCACACAAACUUUGUAUGCAGUGUAGAAUGUAUUUUUUGUUUUUGCGAUCACGCAAUCAAUACAACUUUCAACAACGGAUCUCUUGGCUCUC